rnacentral:rRNA from 1 species
ACGUAGGGGGCAAGCGUUAUCCGGAAUUACUGGGCGUAAAGGGUGCGUAGGUGGCCUGACAAGUCAGGGGUCAAAGGCAACGGCUCAACCGUUGUAAGCCCUUGAAACUGUCGGGCUUGAGUUCAGGAGAGGAAAGCGGAAUUCCUAGUGUAGCGGUGUAAUGCGUAGAUAUUAGGAGGAACACCAGUGGCGAAGGCGGCUUUCUGGACUGAUACUGACACUGAGGCACGAAAGCGUGGGGAGCAAACAG